rnacentral:snRNA from 1 species
CACGCUUCUCGGCCUUUUGGCUAAGAUCAAGUGUAGUAUCUGUUCUUACCGGUUUAAUAUCUUUAAUUUUUUCCCCAUCCCUGGAAACAUUCAAGCCCA